CGGACUGUAGUAUAACGGUAGUACGUACGCAUGGGGUGCGUAUAGCCCGAGUUCGACUCUCGGCAGUCCGA
rnacentral:tRNA from 1 species